rnacentral:rRNA from 1 species
AGAAUCAACGCUGGCGGCGUGCCUAACACAUGCAAGUCGAACGAGAAAGGGACUUCGGUCCUGAGUAAAGUGGCGCACGGGUGAGUAACACGUGACUAACCUACCCUUGAGUGGGGAAUAACUUCGAGAAAUCGAGGCUAAUACCGCAUAAUACCUACGGGUCAAAGGAGCAAUUCGCUUAAGGAGGGGUCGCGGCAGAUUAGCUAGUUGGCGGGGUAAGUGGCCCACCCAAGGCAGUGAUCUGUA